GACGCACGCUGGCGGCGUGCCUAAUACAUGCAAGUAGAACGCAGUUGCGAACGGGUGAGUAACGCGUAGGUAACUGCCUCAUAGCGGGGGAUAACUAUUGGAAACGAUAGCUAAUACCGCAUACUGUGAGAUGGACCUGCUUUGUAUUAGCUAUUUGGUGAGGUAAAGGCUCACCGAGGCGACGAUACAGAGCCGACCAGAGAGGGGGAUCGGCGCCACGGGGACUGAGACACGGCCCAGAAACCUACGGGAGCCAGCAGUAGGGAAUCUUCGGGAAUGGAGGGAAGUCUGACCGAGCACCGACGCGUGAGUGAAGAAGGUUUUCGGAUCGUAAAGCUCUGUUGUUAGAGAAGCGGUAACUAAACAGAGAGGGACGGCUAACUACGUGCCAGCAGCCGCGGUAAUAC
rnacentral:rRNA from 1 species